UACAGAGAGUGCAAACGUUGUUCGGAAUUACUGGGCUUAAAGAGCCCGUAGGCGGCAUAGUAAGUGUCGGGUGAAAUCCCACGGCUCACCCGUGGAACUGCCCGGCAUACUGCGGUGCUAGAGUGUGGCAGGGGAGAGCUGAACUCCUGGUGGAGCGGUGAAAUGCGUAGAUAACAGGAGGAACACCGGUGGCGAAGGCGGCUCUCUGGUCCACAAAUGACGCUGAGGAGCGAAAGCUAGGGGAGCAAACGGG
rnacentral:rRNA from 1 species